rnacentral:rRNA from 1 species
UAAUAAAACAUAUUAGUACUAAGAUACGUCCCAAACUCCUACGGGAUGCAGCAGUAGGGAAUCUUCCACAAUGGACGCAAGUCUGAUGGAGCAACGCCGCGUGAGUGAAGAAGGCUUUCGGGUCGUAAAACUCUGUUGUUGGAGAAGAAUGGUCGGCAGAGUAACUGUUGUCGGCGUGACGGUAUCCAACCAGAAAGCCACGGCUAACUACGUGCCAGCAGCCGCGGUAAUACGUAGGUGGCAAGCGUUAUCCGGAUUUAUUGGGCGUAAAGCGAGCGCAGGCGGUUUUUUAAGUCUGAUGUGAAAGCCCUCGGCUUAACCGAGGAAGCGCAUCGGAAACUGGGAAACUUGAGUGCAGAAGAGGACAGUGGAACUCCAUGUGUAGCGGUGAAAUGCGUAGAUAUAUGGAAGAACACCAGUGGCGAAGGCGGCUGUCUGGUCUGUAACUGACGCUGAGGCUCGAAAGCAUGGGUAGCGAACAGGAUUAGAUACCCACGUAGUCCAAGACGGAAAGCAUGUGCCAGGUA